UAGGGAAUCUUCCACAAUGGACGAAAGUCUGAUGGAGCAACGCCGCGUGAGUGAAGAAGGGUUUCGGCUCGUAAAGCUCUGUUGGUAGUGAAGAAAGAUAGAGGUAGUAACUGGCCUUUAUUUGACGGUAAUUACUUAGAAAGUCACGGCUAACCACGUGCC
rnacentral:rRNA from 1 species